CCCUUUGUGUGAAUACAGACAUGGGUGAGCCCAUGCUGAAUCACACAGGCAAGGGCAACACACUUGGGUGGUAGGACCACAAGACAGAAGACCUUGGAUCCCGGACAUGAGGUUCUGCUGCUUACAGACUGCUUACAGAGAAAUUGCUUUGUGAGCAAGAAGCUCAUUUAGGGGAUCUGGGUUACAGUAGCUGAAACGAUAACAAAGAAACAGCACCGAAAUGGAAUCUGCUGAAUUCCUGAAAUGAUACAGAUCUUCAGCAUUUUAGAACUGGCAGGAUUCUAAAAGCAAGGUGACUGCCCAAGGCCAGCCAAGCACACAACAAUGUAGAUGUGGCCAGUCUGGAUGGAGGAAGAGGAGUAGAGGAGGAAGAGGAAGCAGACGUGUGGGGGAGACCUGACUCAUGAUGCUGACGCUGAGAACCAAAGCCUCCCUGACCUCACGGUCACCGUCUGCCCCAGCAAGGACAGUGGAGCCGAGCUGAACUUCAAGGAAAUGACAUGAGGUGGAAGACUUCGUUCCCCAUCAUGUGCUGCCUCAUCACAGAUCCAAAACCAAUGGAGCCAAUCGGCCAUUGACGGAAACCUCCCAAACCAUGAGCCCUAAUCAACCCUUUCUUCUAUAAGUUGAUAAUCUCAGGUGUUUGCUAACAGAAAUGGAAAGCUGACUGAGCAUGUAAGUGCUAACACUGAUCUGUGUUCCUUCAAAAUUUGUAUGUUAGGGUCUUACUUAACCUCAAGAUUCACAAAAUUCAAGUUAAGGUAAGGUCACUGGGGUGGACCUAACACAAUCCGACCAGUGUCCUUAUGAAAGAAGGAGAUUAGAAUGCAGAUCCCCUCAGAGGGAGGACCCUGGGAAGAUACAGGGAGACAGUGACACCUACACUCCAUGGCAAGAGGCCUCUGAAGAAACCAACCCUGACCUUGAACUAGACAGAGAAAAGUAAAUAUCUAUUGCUUAAGUCACCCAGUCCCUGACACUUUGCCAUGGCAGCCUUAGCAAGCUGGUACAAACAAGACUGCUUGAUCACUUUUGAUUUUGUAACCUGAACAACUUCUAAAACAACAAUAUGCAAUAUAUUAACUAGUGUUAAUUCCCUACUUCAUUUUGAAAUUCUGUAUCAUUUCUAUCCUUUUUUUCUGUUUUGCUUUUUUUUUAAAAAAAAUUAAAAGAAAAACAAAAAGACUGCUUGUAUUGUGAGCCAGGCUUGUUCAGCUCAUAGGGACCAGCAUAGAAGCAAGGCCAGCAUCAUUACUGAUUAUCAGUUAUAAAUGAUUUCAAGAUAUUUUUACCAUCUACCCCUCCCUAACUCAGUAGUCUUAUUCCAGUGGUGUCAACACUUGGGGAGGAGCGUCUGGCCCUUGGGCUGCAGAAACCAGCAAGUAGUGGCUGCUCAGGUGCCCUCCUAGGACUCUCACAGCCCAGCUGUGUGUGUGCUGGGCACCACCCCUCCCUCUUUGGCAGCUGUUCUGGUUGACACAUUGUGUCAACUUGAGAAGCUUAGAAGUUUAACUAAGAGACUCAGCAGGGAGCCAAGGUACUUACUGUGUAAAUAUCCUGGUCUUCUGCAAGAGGAGGGCACGGAGAUUUUGUGAGUGCUACACCAGCCCUAUAAGGGGAUUGGUCUGUGUUCAAUACAGGGAAGAAACCAGGCUUGCUCUUCCCCUUCUUUUGCUCUGGCUACUUUUGCAAGGCUGCUGCCUUGACGUGUUGCCCCUCUGCCAUGCCACCCUGCCUUGGUGCCAGCUGAGUAUAGACUGAAUCCUCCACAAACUAUGAGUUAAAUAAACCUCUCCU